CUCGUAGGCGGCCAACUAAGUCAGACGUGAAAUCCCUAGGCUCAACCUAGGAACUGCGUCUGAUACUGGAUGGCUUGAAUCCGGGAGAGGGAUGCAGAAUUCCAGGUGUAGCGGUGAAAUGCGUAGAUAUCUGGAGGAAUACCGGUGGCGAAGGCGGCAUCCUGGACCGGCAUUGACGCUGAGGAGCGAAAGCUAGGGGAGCAAACGG
rnacentral:rRNA from 1 species